CCGAGCCUCAGUUUAGUUCCGAGGACUAUAUGAUGUUAUAUACGACUAUCUACAAUAUGUGCACUCAAAAGCCUCCUCAUGAUUAUUCCCAGCAACUGUAUGACAAGUACAGGGAAUCGUUUGAAGAAUACAUUCUAUCAACGUUAUCUAUGGAGCUUCCCAUGCGUAUUGUAGCGACAUCAGCUCCUAAAUGGCAC